UGGCUCAGGAUGAACGCUAGCGGCAGGCCUAACACAUGCAAGUCGAGGGGUAGAAGUCUUCGGAUUUUGAGACCGGCGCACGGGUGCGUAACGCGUAUGCAAUCUGCCUUACACUAAGGGAUAGCCCAGAGAAAUUUGGAUUAAUACCUUAUAGUAUAUUGAUGUGGCAUCACAUUAUUAUUAAAGAUUUAUUGGUGUAAGAUGAGCAUGCGUCCCAUUAGCUAGUUGGUAUGGUAACGGCAUACCAAGGCUAUGAUGGGUAGGGGUCCUGAGAGGGAGAUCCCUCACACUGGUACUGAGACACGGACCAGACUCCUACGGGAGGCAGCAGUGAGGAAUAUUGGUCAAUGGGCGCAAGCCUGAACCAGCCAUGCCGCGUGCAGGAUGAAGCAUCUAUGGUGUGUAAACUGCUUUUGUACGGGAAGAAACACCUCUUCGUGAAGAGGCUUGACGGUACCGUAAGAAUAAGGAUCGGCUAACUCCGUA
rnacentral:rRNA from 1 species